rnacentral:tRNA from 1 species
GCCGAAAUAGCUCAAUUGGUAGAGCAACUGUUUUGUAAGCAGUAGGUUGUGAGUUCAAUUCUUACUUUCGGCACCA